rnacentral:lncRNA from 1 species
AUGAAAGCAUUGGUGUUUAACCGUGUAAAAUCUGCUUCUCUUCUCUGCCCUACCAAUGCAUCCAGCAGACGGAGUUAUCUGUCCCUACAGACAGAUCAGUGGAAAUAUUUCCUCUCACGUUGGCACUCAAAUGUAAAAGGUGUCCUGCAGGACUUGGAAAAGACUGGUGACUUACAAGACAUGAUUCUCUUUCCCAUGGUAUAUGACAUUGAAGGACAGGAAAAUUCCCUCCCACCUACCUUCUUUUUUUUUCAAUCUCCAUUUCCCUUUGGGCUGCCUCAGGUACUGGGCUAGGCUUGGCAUGUAGACACAAUUAGAAAUAGAGGCGAGACUGCACGGAGCAAAGUGUCCAAGUGCUGAGUGAGUGCCCAAUGGGCCGUAGCAAAAUGCACAACCAAGUCAAAGAAAAAUGGAAAAUAUUCCAUAAAAUUCAUCUUUGCAUCCCUUUUUCCUCUCUUGAUAUAUGGCCCCUUAUUCACAGCUGCCCGGGCCCCGGCCUGCGUGUAAAUAUGUCAGUGCAGCAAUGAGACGGAACACGGUCACAGAACGCCGGCGGCUGCUCCCAGAUAAAACACUGAGCUGGAGCCCAGGAGUUUAUUGUAAAUAAAGAUCAAGGCAAAGCAGCAGCAUUUCUGCUCGGCUCAAGCCUGCCAAGGUUGCUAGUCCAGCUCCUUUCACAACUACCAUAUGUCCACAUGGAUUUCCCCUUCCAGAGAGUGACAUGUUCCUCUUCUCACAGCUCUGUACCCUUUGCAAGCUCCCCGAUACUUUCCAUGUGUUGCUUUACAGUGACCUGGAAGCACUGGUGGCAGAUGGGACAAGGGGUGGGCAUGGAAGUGAACUUCCAACUGUUCUGCUCCAAUACUGCUCUACCUGAACACUCCCUUUGUGGGCCUGGGACAUGUUAAUGCUUACUUCGGUUCUACUCAGUAGAGGGCACUGGAUCCUCCUGUAAAUGGGAAUUGAUGCCGGGAAGCACGAGGGUCUGAUCACUUUUGCAGAUGGACUGAUUUUUUCCUUCUGGAUACUGGUGGUGUGGAAGAGAAGUCUGCAGCUCUGUCUGCUGCACGCUGAUUGACUGAGAGAAAACCAUGGCAUGUGUUAGCAAGUGAUAAACUUGUCAUUUACAUAUAUUUUUUAUUUUAAUUAAAGAGGUAGCUACAGAAAUCAGUUAUCUGGAAAUCAGGCUGGGUAAAGUACCAGCUAUCUGGCAUCCUUCUGAAGAGCAACACCAGCCAGCUGACACAAUGCAGGGAGAUGCAAACACCUACAAACUAGAGCCUGAACAGCCAGGCUGGGGUGGAAACUGGUUGAAUUGUUCAGGCUUGUUCCUGCAGCCCACAGGGAAAAUACAGGAGUGGUCUGAGGAGAGCUGGCUGGAUCAGG